rnacentral:rRNA from 1 species
CGGUAACAGGAAGCAGCUUGCUGCUUCGCUGACGAGUGGCGGACGGGUGAGUAAUGUCUGGGAAACUGCCUGAUGGAGGGGGAUAACUACUGGAAACGGCAGCUAAUACCGCAUAACGUCGCAAGACCAAAGAGGGGGACCUUCGGGCCUCUUGCCAUCGGAUGUGCCCAGAUGGGAUUAGCUAGUAGGUGGGGUAACGGCUCACCUAGGCGACGAUCCCUAGCUGGUCUGAGAGGAUGACCAGCCACACUGGAACUGAGACACGGUCCAGACUCCUACGGGAGGCAGCAGUGGGGAAUAUUGCACAAUGGGCGCAAGCCUGAUGCAGCCAUGCCGCGUGUAUGAAGAAGGCCUUCGGGUUGUAAAGUACUUUCAGCGGGGAGGAAGGCGACAGGGUUAAUAAUCCUGUCGAUUGACGUUACCCGCAGAAGAAGCACCGGCUAACUCCGUGCCAGCAGCCGCGGUAAUACGGAGGGUGCAAGCGUUAAUCGGAAUUACUGGGCGUAAAGCGCACGCAGGCGGUCUGUCAAGUCGGAUGUGAAAUCCCCGGGCUCAACCUGGGAACUGCAUUCGAAACUGGCAGGCUAGAGUCUUGUAGAGGGGGGUAGAAUUCCAGGUGUAGCGGUGAAAUGCGUAGGGAUCUGGAGGAAUACCGGUGGCGAAGGC